rnacentral:rRNA from 1 species
CACCGCGGUUAUACGAGAGACCCAAGUUGGUACUUCCCGGCGUAAAGCGUGGUUAAGGGGUAAACAAAUUAAAGCCAAACUUUUUCUGCGCCGUCAUACGCAUCCGAAAGAGGGAUGCCCAAUCACGAAGGUAGCUUUAAAUAUCCUGACCCCACGAAAGCCGCGGCA